rnacentral:misc_RNA from 1 species
GUGAAUCAUCAAAUUUUUGAACGCAAAUUGCACUCUCUGGUAUUCCGGGGAGUAUGCCUGUUUGAGGGUCAGUCUAUACAAAAUCGUCAUCGUUGCUGUUUCACGCUGACGUUCGUCGGAGAUUGGGUCAUCUUAAAAAUUUUUGGUUUAAGCGACUUAAAAUUUUAUUUUUGAUUCAAUGAACGUGUUUCUAAGAUUUAUUUCUUUCCACGUUUAAGGUAUCGAUUUUUAUUAGACGUGACCAUCAUAUCGGAUCUCGUCCAUAAUCUUUCAAUAACUGACCUGAGAUAGGUAAGAG